UACGAAGGGGGCUAGCGUUGCUCGGAAUCACUGGACGUAAAGGGUGCGUAGGCGGGUUUUUAAGUCAGAGGUGAAAUCCUGGAGCUCAACUCCAGAACUGCCUUUGAUACUGAAAGUCUUGAGUAUGGGAGAGGUGAGUGGAACUGCGAGUGUAGAGGUGAAAUUCGUAGAUAUUCGCAAGAACACCAGUGGCGAAGGCGGCUCACUGGCCAAUAACUGACGCUGAGGCACGAAAGCGUGGGGAGCAAACAGG
rnacentral:rRNA from 1 species